CUAAGGAGCAUCUGCACUGUCCGGUCCGAGUAGUCGGAUCUGGAGGUGCCAGAGCCGCUUAUGUUCCCGAAUGUGGAGCUGCGGAGCUCAUGGGUGGAACGCUGAUAUGUGCCUCGAAUGUGCCUGGGUCUCAAUGAGGUUCGGGUUCGGGGAUGUAGUCGACACACUGUUGGGUCCUGAAAGAACACGCGAGUGUUUCUUUCUAGGCAAUCAAAACGAUCCGGGAGGGUUUCCGUUUAGUACCGCCGAGCGUGCUCGGGCCGGCUUCGGGUGUGGAUUCUUCCGGGUGUGUUGUUUGAGAACUGCACAGUGGACGCGAGCAUCUUUGUUUGUAAGUGUUUAAGGGCGUUC
rnacentral:misc_RNA from 1 species